UACAGAGGUCUCAAGCGUUGUUCGGAUUCAUUGGGCGUAAAGGGUGCGUAGGCGGCGGGGCAAGUCGGAUGUGAAAUCUCAGGGCUCAACCCUGAAACUGCAUUCGAUACUGCCUUGCUCGAGGACUGGAGAGGAGAUUGGAAUUCACGGUGUAGCAGUGAAAUGCGUAGAGAUCAUGAGGAAGACCAGUGGCGAAGGCGGGUCUCUGGACAGUUCCUGACACUGAGACACGAAGGCCAGGGGAGCAAACAGG
rnacentral:rRNA from 1 species